UUUUUUAUCCAGUAAAGUAAAUCUAUUGCAUAACUUGACUAAUGAUUAUUUUUAUUACUUGUCCUUUUUUGGACCUGAAAUGGACAGAAAAAUAAACAAACAGUCAAACAAUCAAUGCUGUUCAUAUUUUUAUUUGAUCAUUUUGAAUAAACAAAGUGUUUUCCACCAAUGAAAUUGUUGGAUUUGAUGUGUAUUAAUUAUGAAAAAUGAAUGUAAUUCUGUUUAUAUUCUCUUUAUACACAUACAUACCACACUUUUAUUUUGAUAUAUAGAUUUUCUAUUUUGUCAAAGAAAUUUUGAUUAUCAUAAAAGGACACUCUGAAAUACAGAAUGGGUACAUAUUGCCGUAGUUUCACCGUAUUUAUUAAUCAUAGACAUUAAUUCGUUCAUUCGGUAUUUGAAGAAAUGAACAUAAUUUUUCUGACCCUUUUAUUAUCUCAAUAAUAAUGUUAUUCUAGCUAUUACAGAGAACGAUAUUUUCACUUGAUAACUAUAUUAGCUCUAAUGAAUGUUAUAAAUAUGAAAUAAUGUUCAUAAUAAACUCAUCAUAAAUACCAGGAUUCCAAUUUUAUAUUUACGCCAGACGCGCGGUUCGUCUACAAAAGACUCACCAGUGACGGUCGAAUAACAAAAAAGUUAAAAAGGCCAAAUAAGUACGAAGUUAAAGAGCAUUGAUGACCAAAUAUUUCUCAAAGUUUUGCCAAAUAAAAUUAAGGUAAUAUUUUCCUGAUGUAGAAAAGCCUUUGUAUUUCAAACAUUUAAAGUUUU
rnacentral:lncRNA from 1 species